AUUGAACGCUGGCGGCAGGCUUAACACAUGCAAGUCGAGCGGGGUGAUGGUGCUUGCACUAUCACUUAGCGGCGGACGGGUGAGUAAUGCUUAGGAAUCUGCCUAUUAGUGGGGGACAACAUCUCGAAAGGGAUGCUAAUACCGCAUACGUCCUACGGGAGAAAGCAGGGGAUCACUUGUGACCUUGCGCUAAUAGAUGAGCCUAAGUCGGAUUAGCUAGUUGGUGGGGUAAAGGCCUACCAAGGCGACGAUCUGUAGCGGGUCUGAGAGGAUGAGCCGCCACAAUGGGACGGAGACACGGCCCAGACUCCUACGGGAGGCAGCAGUAGGGAAUAUGGGACAAUGGGGGGAACCCAGAUCCAGCCAUGCCGCGUGUGUGAAGAAGGCCUUAUGGUUGUAAAGCACUUUAAGCGAGGAGGAGGCUCUUUUGGUUAAUACCCAAGAUGAGUGGACGUUACUCGCAGAAUAAGCACCGGCUAACUCUGUGCCAGCCGCCGCGGUAA
rnacentral:rRNA from 1 species